rnacentral:rRNA from 1 species
GACGUAGGGGGCGAGCGUUGUCCGGAAUCACUGGGCGUAAAGCGCACGUAGGCGGAUUGCUAAGUCAGGGGUGAAAUCCUGGAGCUCAACUCCAGAACUGCCUUUGAUACUGGUGAUCUUGAGUCCGGGAGAGGUGAGUGGAACUGCGAGUGUAGAGGUGAAAUUCGUAGAUAUUCGCAAGAACACCAGUGGCGAAGGCGGCUCACUGGCCCGGUACUGACGCUGAGGUGCGAAAGCGUGGGGAGCAAACAGG